AUUAGGCUUGGUGGUUCUACAUGGAAAUAGUUACAACAUAGAUUUUCAUGCAGUUCACAAUUUAGAUGUAUCAUUUGAGCAUUUUAUUCUGUGUAAGGCAUAGUAGCAUAUCGUUGGUAGAUGAUGUUGAUACUGGCACACGCAAUUUACCGAGUCAGGGGGAUGUAUGUAUGCAUGUUAGAUGCCCUUACCGAUCCUUGCAUUCCGUUUAAUGCUUCAGGGCACUAGCUGUUUUAGAGAACAUCUCAUACAUGUUACUUUUCAAUCGAUUAUUUGUUGAGAGAUUUUAAGCCAUA
rnacentral:misc_RNA from 1 species